CCUACGGGAGGCAGCAGUGGGGAAUAUUGGACAAUGGGGGGAACCCUGAUCCAGCGACGUCGCGUGAGUGAAGAAGUAUCUCGGUAUGUAAAGCUCUAUCAGCAGGGAAGAAAGAAAUGACGGUACCUGACUAAGAAGCCUCGGCUAACUACGUGCCAGCAGCCGCGGGAAUACGUAGGGGGCAGGCGUUAUCCGGAUUUACUGGGUGUAAAGGGAGCGUAGACGGCGAUGCAAGUCUGAGGGGAAAGGCGGGGGCCCAACCCCCGGACUGCUGUGGAAACUGUAUGGCUGGAGUGCAGGAGAGGUAAGUGGAAUGCGUAGUGUAGCGGUGAAAUGCGUAGAUAUUAGGAAGAACACCAGUGGCGAAGGCAGCUUACUGGACUGUAACUGACGUUGAGGCACGAAAGCGUGGGGAGCGAACAGGAUUAGAUACCCUUGUAGUC
rnacentral:rRNA from 1 species